AUUGAACGCUGGCGGCAGGCCUAACACAUGCAAGUCGAGCGGAUGAAGGGAGCUUGCUCCUGGAUUCAGCGGCGGACGGGUGAGUAAUGCCUAGGAAUCUGCCUGGUAGUGGGGGAUAACGUCCGGAAACGGGCGCUAAUACCGCAUACGUCCUGAGGGAGAAAGUGGGGGAUCUUCGGACCUCACGCUAUCAGAUGAGCCUAGGUCGGAUUAGCUAGUUGGUGGGGUAAAGGCCUACCAAGGCGACGAUCCGUAACUGGUCUGAGAGGAUGAUCAGGCACCCUGGAACUUGGACACCGGCCCGGCUACUACGGGAGGCCGCAGUGGGGAAUAUUUGGCCAUUGGGCGAAGCCUUAUUCAAGCCGUGCGGGUGUGUUGAAGAAGUCCUCCGAGUGUAAAGCACUUUAAGUUGGGAGGAAGGGCAGUAAGUUAAUACCUUGCUGUUUUGACGUUACCAACAGAAUAAGCACCGGCUAACUUCGCG
rnacentral:rRNA from 1 species